GAUGAACGCUAGCUACAGGCUUAACACAUGCAAGUCGAGGGGUAACGAGAGGAAAGCUUGCUUUCCUUGUCGACGACCGGCGCACGGGUGAGUAACGCGUAUCCAACCUGCCCCCAACUAAGGAAUAACCUUGCGAAAGUAAGACUAAUACCUUAUAAUUUCCUCAGAUGCCAUCUGACGAGGAAUAAAGAUUUAUCGGUUGUGGAUGGGGAUGCGUCUGAUUAGCUUGUUGGCGGGGUAACGGCCCACCAAGGCAACGAUCAGUAGGGGUUCUGAGAGGAAGGUCCCCCACAUUGGAACUGAGACACGGUCCAAACUCCUACGGGAGGCAGCAGUGAGGAAUAUUGGUCAAUGGGCGAGAGCCUGAACCAGCCAAGUAGCGUGCAGGAUGACGGCCCUAUGGGUUGUAAACUGCUUUUAUACAGGAAUAAAGUUAGCCACGUGUGGUUAUUUGUAGGUACUGUAUGAAUAAGGACCGGCUAAUUCCGUGCCAGCAGCCGCAGUAA
rnacentral:rRNA from 1 species